rnacentral:rRNA from 1 species
ACGGGAGGCAGCAGUGGGGAAUAUUGCACAAUGGGCGAAAGCCUGAUGCAGCGACGCCGCGUGAACGAUGAAGUAUUUCGGUAUGUAAAGUUCUAUCAGCAGGGAAGAAAAAUGACGGUACCUGACUAAGAAGCACCGGCUAAAUACGUGCCAGCAGCCGCGGUAAUACGUAUGGUGCAAGCGUUAUCCGGAUUUACUGGGUGUAAGGGGAGCGCAGGCGGUACGGCAAGUCUGAUGUGAAAGCCCGGGGCUCAACCCCGGUACUGCAUUGGAAACUGUCGAACUAGAGUGUCGGAGGGGUAAGCGGAAUUCCUAGUGUAGCGGUGAAAUGCGUAGAUAUUAGGAGGAACACCAGUGGCGAAGGCGGCUUACUGGACGAUAACUGACGCUGAGGCUCGAAAGCGUGGGGAGCAAACAGGAUUAGAUACCCUGGUA